rnacentral:lncRNA from 1 species
UUAUAUCAUUGUGUUAUUUCAUCAAACAUUUCUGACGAAUUCAAGAAUCGCAAUGGUAUUGUACCGUGCCGUCGACUCCGGUUCACUCGUUCUCUACAUAAUGUUGUGGUGUCGGGUGUGGUUUCAAUGUUUCAUAUCAGUCGAAAUAUACUUCGGUAACGUUUCUCUUUUGAAGUUGAUCUGAGUAAAUAAGUUAAGGACUUUUUUCUGACCGAACAUUACGACAACGUCUCUUUGCCUUGAAAACUCGGUUCAACAGAAUUGGUCUACUUUUCCACUGUCCACCGAGCCAGCAGACGGGUACUAAUUUGUCUAAUUUCAACUUCGGUCUACGCGUCAACUAUCAUAAACGAGCUGGUAGGAAAUAUUUUCAAGGAUCAACAACUUGCAUCAUGGUGAUUUUAUUAGUUGUUAUUAAUGAAAUAUACUUCUUGUUGAUCUGAUGGCCUAUCAGGAGUUUUAUUGUCUCAUAAUAAAUGCUUACCAGGGUGCCAGCAAAUAAAAGUAUGGAAGAUUUACUAGAAUGUGAAAUCUCAAAUGUCAAUUUAAACACAUCUAUAGGUGAACCAGUUUCUGAAACACCUUAAUGAUUUAAAUUAAACUUUUCGUGCUAGUGAUACAGUCAUACAAGCAAUUUUAGUAGAAUUAGCAGAAGCAUCCACACUUAGUUUUUGAAAAAUAUUAUAAAAACAAUUUUUGGUAUCGGUAAAAAAAGAUAAAACUUAAAAUAAAAAUAUAUUACAUCUACUUUAACAGUUUAUAAAACAUGUUUUUAACAUUUUAUAGUGUAAAAUUACGUAAACAAUAAAACAAUGAUAAUUAACAAAUAACAACUUACAUAACUAUGAAAUAGGUAUCAACCCAUUCAAAAUUUUGACUUUUAUUUUUUCUUGAGCAAUAACAGUGUUUUUAUAAUUUGAUUUUUGGUAACAGUAACUGUCAAUAAUAAAUGGAAAUACAUAAUGUCCUCUCAUACCUUUACUUCCCCUUAGAAACUUAUAUGUUAUUUCUUAUUCUUCAAUUUCACUCAUUUGUCCAACAUAUUCAAAAUUACCUUAAAGAUUUCAAAUUUUACCAAAACAAAAAUCCAUUAUUUUUAAAUUUUCGUUAUUAUCAGUCUUAAAAGUUUCUACAGUAUCAUUUAAUUUAUUACAGAAAUUUUCUUCAAUCUCAUUUAACUUAUUGUCUGCAUUAUUUUCAGAUGCUUGUCUGUAGCUGAAUGUUCCUUUGUUUAUCUCAGUAAAGGCAUUUUUUAAUGUUUCAGCGGAGAAAUUUUAAGUAUGUGCAUAAACCUGGCUGUCUUUAAUAUUCAUUUAGCAUUUUCGAAGUCAACCUUGUUUGAACGUUGAAAAACAAAUUCAUUCAUUAAAAAUCAGAUUAUGCAUAUUUUUACAUAAUGUUUGGACUAAUUUUAUAAUUUUAUUUAUAAAAUUGUUGUAUAUUAAUUAAAAAUGAUGGAAUAGUAAUCUAGACAAUGAUAAGAUAGAUUAAUUAAGCAAAUAUACCUAAUAAUAUAGUAAAAUAUAAAUAAAGCGUAAAAACACUUAGAUCAUAUACAAUGGAUAGUACUAGAUUGCAUAUAAUAUUGAUUAUAUUCAUGUUAGUGACAAGUUGCCAGGUAAGUGGCCCCUACCUACUAUGCGUGCCCUAGCAACUAGUUUCAUAUUUAUCUCAAUAAAUUAUUUAUUUAUAUAAUUUCAUACGGAAUAAACUUCAUUUACAAAAAGACAUUACAGCAGCAAAACGUAUGUUAUACAUCAGUAUACUAAAUUAAAUCAUCAUAAUAGUUAAUAUAUAAAUAAUAUCCAAAAUCCUUAACCUUAACAAUAGAACACAUACUAUUUAGAGACCUUAACUAAUAUCUUUAGGUACUUAGUAAUCAAAAAUAUUAUAUCAAUUAGUUUAAUAUGAAAGACAAUGUUUAUAAAUUAAACGUCGAGUGUAUAUCAUUUAUUGAGCAACAAAAUAAAUCUAAAUUUAUACUGUUUCCAGCCAUCAUUAAAGUAUUAGCUGG